GAAACAGUGAGAAGGCAACAUCUCUGAACCAAGAUGCAGUCUCUCACCAGAAUUUGAGUCUUCAGGUGACUUGAACUUGGACUAUCAACCCUGCAGAACUUUCUGGAGGCUUAGAAGUCCAAGUCCAUGGCACUGCCAUCUGGCAAGGGCCUCCGGGCUGGAUACAACGUAACAGAAGGUGAGUAAGCCAGCCAUGUCACAACAGCUACAACCGCCCGCCUGGAGCUCAUCACACCCAUCUCACACAUGCUUCUUGACUGCUAUUGGGGUGAUGAAGAUGAAAACUGGGAUGCUGGCUUUUCCAUUUACCCAGUGAGUCUUCAGACCACUGAAAUGCUGUCACUCCACAGUUGGAAAUUCAUCAGUUUUUGUCUCUCAGUGGAUCUACCUGUAAGAAGAGUCAGAAGGGACCAACCUGCAUGAUUUCACUGUUGGCUCUGAGGCUUCUUUCUUUUAUGCAGUAAUUUUAUUCCUACGACAACAACAAAAAGACUAAAAGACU